UUUAUGGAGAGUUUGAUCCUGGCUCAGGAUGAACGCUGGCGGCGUGCCUAAUACAUGCAAGUCGAGCGAACGGACGAGAAGCUUGCUUCUCUGAUGUUAGCGGCGGACGGGUGAGUAACACGUGGAUAACCUACCUAUAAGACUGGGAUAACUUCGGGAAACCGGAGCUAAUACCGGAUAAUAUUNNNNNNNNNNNNNNNNNNNNNNNNNNNNNNNNNNNNNNNNNNNNNNNNNNNNNNNNNNNNNNNNNNNNNNNNGUUGGUAAGGUAACGGCUUACCAAGGCAACGAUGCAUAGCCGACCUGAGAGGGUGAUCGGCCACACUGGAACUGAGACACGGUCCAGACUCCUACGGGAGGCAGCAGUAGGGAAUCUUCCGCAAUGGGCGAAAGCCUGACGGAGCAACGCCGCGUGAGUGAUGAAGGUCUUCGGAUCGUAAAACUCUGUUAUUAGGGAAGAACAUAUGUGUAAGUAACUGUGCACAUCUUGACGGUACCUAAUCAGAAAGCCACGGCUAACUACGUGCCAGCAGCCGCGGUAAUACGUAGGUGGCAAGCGUUAUCCGGAAUUAUUGGGCGUAAAGCGCGCGUAGGCGGUUUUUUAAGUCUGAUGUGAAAGCCCACGGCUCAACCGUGGAGGGUCAUUGGAAACUGGAAAACUUGAGUGCAGAAGAGGAAAGUGGAAUUCCAUGUGUAGCGGUGAAAUGCGCAGAGAUAUGGAGGAACACCAGUGGCGAAGGCGACUUUCUGGUCUGUAACUGACGCUGAUGUGCGAAAGCGUGGGGAUCAAACAGGAUUAGAUACCCUGGUAGUCCACGCCGUAAACGAUGAGUGCUAAGUGUUAGGGGGUUUCCGCCCCUUAGUGCUGCAGCUAACGCAUUAAGCACUCCGCCUGGGGAGUACGACCGCAAGGUUGAAACUCAAAGGAAUUGACGGGGACCCGCACAAGCGGUGGAGCAUGUGGUUUAAUUCGAAGCAACGCGAAGAACCUUACCAAAUCUUGACAUCCUUUGACAACUCUAGAGAUAGAGCUUUCCCCUUCGGGGGACAAAGUGACAGGUGGUGCAUGGUUGUCGUCAGCUCGUGUCGUGAGAUGUUGGGUUAAGUCCCGCAACGAGCGCAACCCUUAAGCUUAGUUGCCAUCAUUAAGUUGGGCACUCUAAGUUGACUGCCGGUGACAAACCGGAGGAAGGUGGGGAUGACGUCAAAUCAUCAUGCCCCUUAUGAUUUGGGCUACACACGUGCUACAAUGGACAAUACAAAGGGCAGCGAAACCGCGAGGUCAAGCAAAUCCCAUAAAGUUGUUCUCAGUUCGGAUUGUAGUCUGCAACUCGACUACAUGAAGCUGGAAUCGCUAGUAAUCGUAGAUCAGCAUGCUACGGUGAAUACGUUCCCGGGUCUUGUACACACCGCCCGUCACACCACGAGAGUUUGUAACACCCGAAGCCGGUGGAGUAACCUUUUAGGAGCUAGCCGUCGAAGGUGGGACAAAUGAUUGGGGUGAAGUCGUAACAAGGUAGCCGUAUCGGAAGGUGCGGCUGGAUCACCUCCUUUCUAAGGA
rnacentral:rRNA from 1 species